GCAAACUCUACAGGAUUAUACUCUAGACCUUUAGUAGUCUGGCUUCUCCGGGGAGAUGUUGGCUUUUUCUUCAGAUAACAACUGUUCUGCAGGGAAGCAGAUACUGAGAAAGCAGCUCUUAGAAGAAAGAACAGAGAUGAUACUGGGAAAGUACUAAAGAUCAGAUACUCAGAAGUGCAAACAAAUGUCAUCUAUUUAAGUAACCCAGACAAUCCAAGAAGCAGUCUGAAGGGAGUUUGAUGCUAAAUUACUCUGAAGACUUGGGAGGUAAAUCCUAAUCGUGUCAAAGAUUUGGCACAAAGACAUGUUUCAGGGUGAGUUAAUAAACAAACAUGCUGAUGGAUAGUA